CAUCGAAGUGUCCAGUCGGUUGGGCGUGUUAACGUCGCUGUCAAAAAUCUACAAAAGUACAAGUUUGCAACACUUUCAAUAUGUCUACGGUAACUGAUCGGUGAGGAACUUGUUUUUAUAUAACAAUUAUUACAUAUUUAUUUCAGUCUGUUUGUAUUUGUCACAUGGCCAUGCAUUGUCUUCAAUGUUUUAAUGUAACCUAUCGAAAACCGUCCCCCAUAAAAAGCCCUCCCAUUGGCAUUGUACUUGCUAUUUCUUUUCAACUUUAAACAACGUAAGCACGAACUUUGAUUACGUCAUACAUGUAUGUUGUUCACGAAAACACGUCGACAACUUGGGAAGGUUAUUUGGGGAAAAUAUACAAAAAUGGAAAUAUAGAAAUUAAUCUGUAUGUUUUUAUUGGGGGUGGGUAUACCUGGGAACACAGACAACGGCUUGUCAAACAACUAGCCUAAGGCAUGCAUCAGUCAACAAUUUGGUGAGGACUGACAACACUCUCCAGCAGGUGCCAAACCACAAAACGAACAUGGCUGUAGCAAAUGGUGACAUUCUGUAGCAAAUGGUGUCAUUCUGUCAAUGUGCAGGUACAUGGCACAUAAGUUGUUGUAUACUCUGGUUGUGAACCCAAGUGCAUCUAAAGUGAGGAUAUAUACAGCUGGACAAAGUUCAAGCAAGGUGUUGAAUGUGUGCGUUUUGGAACCUUCUAAGAUUCAUAAAGUUAUUAUGGUUUGUGUGAUGCUGCAUAACUGUGCUACAAAGCUCCAUCUGAUUCAGAGACAGUGAUCCAGGUUUUGUUUUGUUACAAGAUGAUAACUUUGAUAUGAAAGAGAUUUCAAUCCAGUGGUUCAUGAUGUUGAUAGCAGAGCUGUUAUUUACUAGUAAUACAUUUACUCUUAAAGACAGCUGUAGAUGAUGACAAAGUAAUUUACAUGCUCUGUUAACACAAAAUGAUAUUCAUAUUUUACAUUUUUCAUACAUCUUCAUUUUGAAUUUAAAUCAAUAUGCAACAGGAAAAUAAUGUUACAGUUAGAUUAUUAUAAUUGAGAACUUCAAUGCAAAACAAUUCAUAAAAUAAAAACAAAUUAACAAAAUAAUUAUGAAAAAUACACGAAAUUGUUUUAAAAUCUGAUGACAAAUAAAAAAUAAUUUUAAGUAAUAAUUUUUGUUCAUGUACAGUACUGAGUAACUUUAAUUACAUGUUUCCUCUGACAUGUCGCCCACUUUAAUUAACAAUUUAAGAUGUGUUUAUUUUAAGUUAUCUACACUUGGUUUAUUUACUUCUACACUACACUUGCUUCAUUCUUCACAAUUUGUAAGGUGAAAUAAAUUAUAAAUAUUA